rnacentral:rRNA from 1 species
CGCUGGCGGCAGGCCUAACACAUGCAAGUCGAGCGGUAGCACAGAGAGCUUGCUCUCGGGUGACGAGCGGCGGACGGGUGAGUAAUGUCUGGGAAACUGCCUGAUGGAGGGGGAUAACUACUGGAAACGGUAGCUAAUACCGCAUAACGUCGCAAGACCAAAGAGGGGGACCUUCGGGCCUCUUGCCAUCAGAUGUGCCCAGAUGGGAUUAGCUAGUAGGUGGGGUAACGGCUCACCUAGGCGACGAUCCCUAGCUGGUCUGAGAGGAUGACCAGCCACACUGGAACUGAGACACGGUCCAGACUCCUACGGGAGGCAGCAGUGGGGAAUAUUGCACAAUGGGCGCAAGCCUGAUGCAGCCAUGCCGCGUGUAUGAAGAAGGCCUUCGGGUCGUAAAGUACUUUCAGCGAGGAGGAAGGCAUUGUGGUUAAUAACCACAGUGAUUGACGUUACUCGCAGAAGAAGCACCGGCU